CACACACACACACACACACACACACACACACACACACACACUAAACUACCAUCUUUUUCAGAACAGUCUACAAUAUUAUAAUUUUUAUAGCUUCAACAAUGUAGUUGCAAUACAAAAAGCAGAGAAUUAAAUUAUCAGCUUUUUUAGAAAUAGUUUGAAUUCUAAAAAAAAAAAGGCUGUCAUUUUGAGAAUGAAGUUAAAGUCAAGAGACAGAAUUUUAAGAACAAAGUCAGAAUUCAGAUGUAAAGAUCAAGGAAGAAAGUCAAGAACUGCUGCUUCACCUUACUUUUCACCAAAAUGUUAAGGUUUAUGUUCCAAUUGAAUUUUGAGAAUUGUACUUUAAUCAGAAUUUUGAAUGUUAUAUAAAAACAUUACUAACUUUAUUAGCAGAAUUAUGAUUUAAAGCUAAAUAACUGCAUGUUUUUCCUCAAAAUCAUGACCUUUUUUCACAAUUUUAUUCCAAAUAGUGACAUCAAGUUUGGGACUGAAAUUAUUGUCUCACAUUUUUCUAAUUCUUUCUAAUCCUCUUCUAAAGCAGUAACAGAUCCAUAUCACUGAUCAAUAAAAUUACUCUCUUUUAGAGAGAUACAGUAUACAAAACAUUUCAAGAGUGAGGCUGUAAUUUUGUGGCCUUGUCACACAUCUGUAAGAAAUGUAAACCAACUGGGGCUUGUAAAUCUGUGUUAAAAUAAUUGAUCAACAAUAACAUUUUAUUCUAUGAUUAAUCAUACAAGUGGUUCCCAAUGUGGGUUCAGGACCCUUUUGUUGGAACACUAGAUGAUUAAAGGAGUAAGAAAAAUAUACACAACCUGCUACAAAAAAUAUUCUGACUUUUCUCAAAUUUUUGCUUUCUUCUUGUGAAACAGAUUCUUUCACCUCUUCAUUUCUCUAAAAACCCUUCAAAUCAAACAGAGAAUGGAAAAAAAAAUCACCUUUUGGUUGAACUGCUCACAACUCAUGUCUACACUAAGACCUGUGAGUAGACGUCACAAAUUGACAUUCCUUCUUUUUUUAUGUGGUUACGAGCUGAGAAAGUUGUGAACCGCUGGCCUGUAACUUAACUGUGGGGCCCAAAUGCUUAGUUUGUUGUAAUUUAAUUAAGUGAAAAUGUGUUUGUUAACACUGUAUGCACCCCUAAAUAACCUAAUAAACUGAAAAGAGGAAGGCCAUAAGGAGACGCCUACAUUAUUACCUGAUCUUGUAGAGGGCUCCCUCGUUAAAAAGCCAUCAUUAUUUCAGUAUAUAUUAUGCCUUACAUGUUGUAUUUGUGUGCCUAAUCAACACACCACAAACUAAUUACUCAUGGAUGCACAAGAGUGGCAGAAAUAUGGAGAAGGGUCCCGUUGUGGCCUGUAUACCAGGGUGUAAUUCCCCCUCCGACCACAAUAUAAAUUGCAAUGGCAGAUUGGCGCUGUCCGUAUUUCCGCUCGUUGAUUCCUCGGGAAUUGAAGACUGCAGAAGCAGAGAUUCAAAUUAUGACUUCGCUGAAAACUUUAGCCAAAAUAUGAGAUAUUCGUGUCUUUUUAUGUUUGUGGUGAAUAAAAGUCGCAAGACUUUUCUUUCCUCGAGCCGAUAUUCAUCUGCUGACCUUCAAUAAGUUUGUUCCUGACAUUUAUUCAGCUGUUUCAGCUGUGGAGCCGGAUGAAAGGUAAAAGACUGUUCUUUUAUCCCUUUAAGCUAGGUGUAACGUUAAUGUUAUUUUAAAUGUCUUUUUGUUAGUAUGUUUCUUUCAGAAAUAAUUUUAGAAGGAGACCCCAAGGCCUAUGCUCCAGUGCCACCGGAGGAGCAGCAGGUGACUGAGUCUGGCCCGCUGGGAAAGGAGCGCACCCUGCCUACACUGUAGCACCAGGAAAUGUAGGAGGAGGAGCGGUAUUUUGUGGCUCAUAAGCCCCUGCCAGAAGACAGCUCUCCUGCUGAGGUGGAGGAGUUUUUGGAACAUGCCAAAUUCGUCACAGAGGACCUGGAGUGGCUGCACACAUUGCCUCAUGACAAGUUUUGGUGUCAGGAGGUGAGGGACUGUCAACUUGUGAAAAUGUUGCAGAGACGUUGUUUUUUCCUCUCUUUUCAUUCCUCUACAAUAGUCUACCAAAGCUGGAAAAAUGUAAAUACAUUGUAGAUCAGCAGCCAGGAGCCUGUUAUGGUCUUCCCUUUUCUGCUGUGGUCCAUCUUUUCCACCAGGUGGUGUUUGAUGAGUCCUUGCAGAGGUGACUAGACUUGUACCUGCAUCAUGCUCCUCACGGCCUUGACCUCGCCUCCCUGCCCCCCUCCUUUGCGGUGGCCAAAAUGCAGCGCUCUUCUGUCCACAGGACGCUCUUUUUGACCUUCCUCAGGAUGGCCACACAUAAAGAAUCAAAAGAGAACAUCUUUAACCAGCAGCCAUCCUACUACAGUGACUUGGAUGAGACGGUACCCAUUUACAGGCCUGCUGCAAGAACCACCCCGAGACACUGCAGAAGACAAAGUCGAAACCUGUAUAGCAGAUACCCUGAAAUAUGCCCCCCCACAGAGGGACUCAGAGUCACAGACAGCAGGAUGAAGUAGCUGCAGCUGGAGCUACAGAAAAAGCAGCCUUUUCAUCAUCACCUCUGACCCCUCAGCAGUGGCCUUCACUCAGGCCUCUAAUCCUCCAGGUCUGAUGGCUCCAGGAUGAGGAUAGCACACUGGUCACUAGACGCCCAGCCUGAUCUGAAACAAAAGGUUCUCUGCGAUCACAGCGAAUGGAUACGUCUAUAACUCUGUGCCAACAUGAGGAGAUCUGGAUCAGUGGACCUGGGGCCUGUACUACGAAGUGCGUUCCUGUGAAAGAGGCGGGGUUGUUCUUUUUUUUUUUUUUUUUUUUUUAGUGAGAUGAGACAAAACCGGUGAUACAAGACAGAGCAUAAUACAAUGACAUGACAGGAUUCAUGCAACAAGACAUAACAUGCAUUGAGGACAUUCAGCAGUAACAGAAGAAAAGAAAAAAUCAAAUGUUUAGUACUUAUAAUAUGGAACAUGUUUGUUAGGGAAAGAAAAAAAAUAAUGAUGAUGAUAAAAACAAGCGUUGUAGAUGUGUGUGUGUUGUGCUUCGUCUGUCAUUCAGGAAGUAAUGUAGUGAGGAUUGGCGCCCGUGCUUUCUGGAACUGAUGUAUUUUAUGGUUAAUAGAUGCGGUUAGUUUUUCCAUGGUUAUGUGUUUCCAUACAGAGAUAUUUAGAUUUUCUCUGCUUUUCCAGUUGAGGAGGAUGGUCUUCUUGGCGACAGUGAGAGCGAUGAGUACUGUUUUUAUACUGUGGUUGGGGAUUGUAGCUGAUGAUAAUUCGUCUAACAAGCACAGCGAUGGUGAGAGCGGAAACCAGGCAGUGCCAAAUUGCGUAGAUGUAGUCGUCUAAGGAGGGCAGAGUGAAUCUGAGAGGCCCAUUUGUGCAUUUUUUUGAGUGUGAUGUGCGAUCUAUGGUUGAUCUUGUACUGUAUGAGUAUGUAUCGUUGUCUAGUGAUACGGAUAGACCUUUCUCCCAUUUUGUGGUAGGGAGAGAUAUUGUCAGGCCAGUGUUGAGAAGUUUGUACAAUCUGGAGAGGGUUUUAUAAGGUGUUAGUAGUACUUGUUAUUAUUUCUUCUGCUGGUGCAGACGGUUGAAUGUUGCCUUGUUUUAAGUUGAUCUUAUGACUGAUUGGAGUUGUAGAUACUGAAAAAAGGAUUUGUGGUCUAUUCUGUACUUGUGAGUCAGUUCUUCGAAAGGAAUGAAAGUUGAGUUUUGGAUUAUGUUUUGAAGUUGUGUGAUAUCUUUGUCUUUCCAAGUGGUCAAAUUCAGUGUUUUGUUUUUUUUUUGUCUAGAAGGAAAUCCAGAUUUUUCCAUAUUGGUGUGUAUUUACAAGGUGUGUGUGUUAAGUGCUGUCAGAGUUGUAGCUGUAAUGUCAUUCUUAAAGCAGUUGUGGUGUUUUAUGGAGGUGCUGUUUCAAUGUCUAUCCAGGGAGAGCAUUGUUCUGUGGGAUGGAUCUAUUUGGUUAUAAUUUGUAAUUAAUUGGCCAGGAAGUAGUUGAAAAAGUGUUGUACAUCAAGACCUCCAAUAUUUUUUUGGUGUUUGAAAGUCAGUUUAAUUUUAAGUUUUUUGUUUUUCCAGCAAAAUUUUGUUAUUGUUGAAUCUAGAGAAUUGAACCAUGUGAGAGGUAGACGUACUGGGAUCACUGAGAAAAGGUAAUUUAUUUUGGGUAGUAUUGUCAUCUUGUUGAUUGAUAUUCUUCCAAUAAAUGAGACUGGUAGAUUCAUCCGUGUGUUCGUGUUAUCUUCUAUUGUUUUGAUAAGUGGGUUGAACUUUAAGUGUAAAAGCUCUGAGAGCGAGAGAGAGGCAGGGUUGUUAAUUACGAGUGACUUCAUCAGAACCAUGAAUGAAGUACUUCAUAUGAUAUGAGAUGAAACAAUGAUACCAAGUACCUGCAGAAAACUUCUGUUUUAGGGACAGCAAAAAGUCAUAUUCAACGAAAUGCAAUAUAAACGACAGCCUGUAAUCAUACAACAGAAUAAGAAGACGCGGAAACAAUUUCCACACAUUAAAAGUUGACUAAGGCUUAAAAUACAUGUAGUUAUUAUUGUAUAUGACUUAAGUAUAGAGUGAGUAUGUUUUGCUAUUUAGUUGCAAAGCCAUUCUGAAUAUGUCACAUAAAAAAACUUGAAAGUAAUGCCAGACUGUUUCUGCUGCCGAAGCAAAGAGUGGACAAGCAGAUAAUGACUGAUGUUGCAUUUAUAAUCAUGGGAGCUGGAUGUGUCUGGAUUUUCUAAUAAAAGACAAUCUUUUGUUUUUAUUUCCAGUUAUCAUCACAUAGUUGUCUCAUGUUAUUCUGAGCUGCUAGUGAUAGAAUCAGAGUGUAAAAUUAUCCACACUGGCAGCUGUCACUCUGGGGAUAUCAUAAACUUUGUACAAUUAAAAUGCAGCUAAAAUCCUCA